CAAGAAAGAAAUGAGACAGAGAAGCACGAUGGACGAAUUCAGAUGGAUUCAAAUGUUUUCAUGUCUGAUGCUGAUGAUUCAGAUUGCAGUUUUUGCAAAUGAAAAAUCCUUUUUUACGAAAGUUGGAGAUGACGUCACUCUGCCUUGUCUAAAUGUGAUAGAUGAGCAGAAUAACUGUGAUGGUACUACGUGGACCUUUAUUUCAAGAAAUAAAAAAGCAGCAGAGCUGAUCACACUUGGACAGAUUAGUGAAAAAGUCAAAACUAAAUCAGACAGACUGAAUGUUACAGCGAACUGUUCUCUGCAUAUAAAGAAGCUCACAGUUGAGGAUGUUGGUCUUUAUUCCUGUAAACAAUACCAAUUAGGAGAAACAGAGGGUCACAAAAUUCUGGUUCAUCAUUCUUUAUUUGAUCUCUCUGUUAUUACCUUGAAUGAAUAUGAGGACAAUGAUAGGAUGACAUUAAACUGCUCUGUGUUGACGUAUGGAAGGUGCCGUCACACAGUGAGGUGGCUGAUUAAAGGUCACGAUGUGGACAAAGAGAACAACCAUGUAGUGACCUCACACACUGACUGCUCCACCACUGUGUCUUUUCUGAAGUCUCAUUUUAUUCAUUCACCAAAAUGUCAGUUACUGACGUGUGAAGUGACUGAUACUAAGACAAAGAGAGUGCAGCAGUUUACCUUCAGUCAG